rnacentral:rRNA from 1 species
AUUGAACGCUAGCGGGAGGCCUAACACAUGCAAGUCGAGCGGAGCGGCGAACGGGUGAGUAAUGUCUAGGAAUGUGCCCAGUAGCGGGGGAUAACUACGGGAAAGCGUAGCUAAUACCGCAUACUAUCGGAUGGGCCUAUAUGGGAUUAGCUAGUUGGUGGGGUAACGGCUUACCAAGGCGACGAUCCGUAACUGGUUUGAGAGGACGACCAGCCACACUGGGACUGAGACACGGGCCAGACUCCUACGGGAGGCAGCAGUGGGGAAUUUUGGACAAUGGGGGAAAGCCUGAUCCAGCCAUCCCGCGUGUGCGAUGAAGGCCUUCGGAUUGUAAAGCACUUUAAGCAGGAAAGCGGUACCUGCAGAAUAAGCACCGGCUAACUACGUGCCAGCAGCCGCGGUAAUAC